GCAGUCGAGCGGACAGAUGGGAGCUUGCUCCCUGAUGUUAGCGGCGGACGGGUGAGUAACACGUGGGUAACCUGCCUGUAAGACUGGGAUAACUCCGGGAAACCGGGGCUAAUACCGGAUGCUUGAUUGAACCGCAUGGUUCAAUUAUAAAAGGUGGCUUUUAGCUACCACUUACAGAUGGACCCGCGGCGCAUUAGCUAGUUGGUGAGGUAACGGCUCACCAAGGCGACGAUGCGUAGCCGACCUGAGAGGGUGAUCGGCCACACUGGGACUGAGACACGGCCCAGACUCCUACGGGAGGCAGCAGUAGGGAAUCUUCCGCAAUGGACGAAAGUCUGACGGAGCAACGCCGCGUGAGUGAUGAAGGUUUUCGGAUCGUAAAACUCUGUUGUUAGGGAAGAACAAGUACCGUUCGAAUAGGGCGGUACCUUGACGGUACCUAACCAGAAAGCCACGGCUAACUACGUGCCAGCAGCCGCGGUAAUACGUAGGUGGCAAGCGUUGUCCGGAAUUAUUGGGCGUAAAGCGCGCGCAGGCGGUUUCUUAAGUCUGAUGUGAAAGCCCCCGGCUCAACCGGGGAGGGUCAUUGGAAACUGGGGAACUUGAGUGCAGAAGAGGAGAGUGGAAUUUCCACGUGUAGCGGUGAAAUGCGUAGAGAUGUGGAGGAACACCAGUGGCGAAGGCGACUCUCUGGUCUGUAACUGACGCUGAGGCGCGAAAGCGUGGGGAGCGAACAGGAUUAGAUACCCUGGUAGUCCACGCCGUAAACGAUGAGUGCUAAGUGUUAGAGGGUUUCCGCCCUUUAGUGCUGCAGCAAACGCAUUAAGCACUCCGCCUGGGGAGUACGGUCGCAAGACUGAAACUCAAAGGAAUUGACGGGGGCCCGCACAAGCGGUGGAGCAUGUGGUUUAAUUCGAAGCAACGCGAAGAACCUUACCAGGUCUUGACAUCCUCUGACAACCCUAGAGAUAGGGCUUCCCCUUCGGGGGCAGAGUGACAGGUGGUGCAUGGUUGUCGUCAGCUCGUGUCGUGAGAUGUUGGGUUAAGUCCCGCAACGAGCGCAACCCUUGAUCUUAGUUGCCAGCAUUCAGU
rnacentral:rRNA from 1 species